UGAGGAAUAUUGGUCAAUGGCCGAAGGGCUGAACCAGCCAAGUCGCGUGAGGGAAGACGGCCCUACGGGUUGUAAACCUCUUUUGCCGGGGAGCAAAGGCGGUCACUGGUGACCGGAUGAGAGUACCCGGAGAAAAAGCAUCGGCUAACUCCGUGCC
rnacentral:rRNA from 1 species